rnacentral:rRNA from 1 species
AAUAAACGUUGGCGGCGUGGAUUAGGCAUGCAAGUCGUGCGAUAACCGUAGCAAUACGGCGAAAGCGGCGAAAGGGAGAGUAAUGCGUGGAUACCCACCCCCAGGUCCAGGAUAGCCGCGGGAAACUGCGGGUAAUACUGGAUGACGUCUCCGGACCAAAGGUGUGAUUCCGCCCGGGGAUGGGUCCGCGUCCUAUUAGCUUGUUGGCAGGGUAAUGGCCUACCAAGGCAAAGAUGGGUACGGGGUGUGAGAGCAUGCCCCCGCUCACUGGGACUGAGACACUGCCCAGACACCUACGGGUGGCUGCAGUCGAGGAUCUUCGGCAAUGGGCGCAAGCCUGACCGAGCGACGCCGCGUGCGGGAUGAAGGCCUUCGGGUUGUAAACCGCUGUCAGAGGGGAGGAAAUGCCGGUGGGUUCUCCCAUCGGUUUGACCUAUCCUCAGAGGAAGGACGGGCUAAGUUCGUGCCAGCCGCCGCGGUAAUAC